rnacentral:lncRNA from 1 species
UCACCAUAAGAAAAAGAACUGUAGCUAUAUCCAAAUAAGAAGAAAGCUAAAAAUAAUACCAACUUGGUUUUGUUUUUCGUUUUUUUCUUUCUCAUUUUUGCAACUUCCUGCAAAGGAAACAACAUACUAGUGGCCAGCAAUAGCUACUGGUUUAGAGAAAAGGAAACUGAGAGUUUCAAAACUAACCCAGUUCCUCUUAUCUAGCUGUGGCAAGUAAAUAAAUAAAAUAUUUUUAAAUG